rnacentral:piRNA from 1 species
UGGAAGUCACAUGCCACCUUGUCAUUCC